ACACAAUAAACAAAACUAAUAAAAAAAAUGCCAAGUAUAUAUACGUCUGGUGUGUCUACAUUAGACCUUGGUGUUGAUUCAUUAAGUGGAGAAGAGGGUUCUAAAAUGAGUGAUGAUAUACUAGAUCAACAAGUAAACAUAGAUACAGACACAGAACACAUUGUAUAUGAAGAUAAAAUACCUGCAGAAGUGUUAUAUAAUUUUAUAAGCCAUUUUUCCAAAUUAAAUAUAAACAAGUUUAAUAAUUUUUACACGUAUUAUACAUCCAUUAAUGAAUUAAAAAAUGAAAACUUAGAAGAAGCAAAAAAUGAACUUAUAAAAGAAAGACAAGAACGAUUUAAUAUUCGAGAAAAUGAAAAAAAAACAAAUGAAACAUUACAAUAUGAUGAAGAAUCUAUUCAUGUCCUUACUCAUUUUGAUAAAUUAAUAAAAGAUUUAAAAAGUAAACUUACCCUAAAUUUGGAAGAUAUUAUCAAUGAACACGGUUAUGAUUUAUCAACAUCUUCGACAAUACCAUCAUUAACACGACAAAAAACAUCACCACCAAAUAAUAUUUUACUAUUUUUUGAAGGAGACGAAGAAUUAUUAAAACAAUGGAAACAUAUGCAAUCUGAAAAUGCAAUAAAAACAGACGAAUUUAAAAUAUUAAUUUCAAAUUAUAUAACAACUAGAAUAAACCAUGCAUUAAGUAAAAAUAUUGAUAAAUUGAAAUUUUAUAUUGCAAAAUUUUAUGAUUCUAUGAAAACUUUUUACUCAGAAAAAACAGAUAUAAAUUACAAUGAAACAAUUAAUAAAAUGCAUGAAGAAAUUCUUACAACUAAUUCUGAUUUGUUUAAAUCAAUUUUUCAAAUUCUUAACAAUUUUACAUCUCAAAAAAUAACAUCAAAUAAAGACACAACUUUAAAACAAGAUAUUCAAGACAUACUAAAUAAAUUCGAACAAAAACAAAAUGGACAAACUAUAACAUUUUAUGAUAAAUAUUUUAAAGAUAUGCAAAUGUUAAAAAAAAAUCUUAUUAUUAAAUUAUCAACUGAACAAAUUGAAGAAUUUACUAAACAAGUAAUCGAACAAACAUCAUCUAUGCAUAAAACAAUUAAACAUAUAUAUAACCAUAUCAUUAAUUUAACAGCGAAAAAUUUAACAUCUGAUGAGGCUAACUAUGCUAAAAAAGCUAUUACAAAUAUAUAUAAAGAAAAUAUUCUAAGUGAGAAUGGACAUUUUUUCAACCAAAUCAACAAAACGUUAGCAGAUGUACUUACAAAUAUUGAAAAAUUUUUAUAUUUACAUUAUAAAGAUGUACUAACCAAUUUAUAUAAAAAACAACAAACAGUUAUGACAGUAACAAUAAUUAAUAUUAGAAAAGCUCUUACAAUACUUCGCGAUUAUAUAUAUACCUUUCUAACUACAGAGAAAGUUUACAAAUUGCAUAUAAUGAAAAGUGAAUCAAACAUUAUGAAAGAAAUUGAUUGGGAUAAACAAAAUUUGGAUAUGUGUUUAAAAGCACAUGAAGAUGAAUUUUUACGUAUUUUAUCUACAGGUUAUCAAGCAGAAGGUUCCACGAUAGAUUUAGGGAAAGGGACUAAAAACAUAGGCGGUAUGACAAACAGAUUUAGAAGCAUUAUGUCGGAUACUGAUAACGAGGUAGAUAAAAAGCAAACAAUAGCAGAUAUAAGUACUGAGAUUUCAGAUAUAAAAGAAGAAACUUUGGAUAGUGAGGAAGACCCAUUUGAUGUGGAGAAAGGAUGGAUUAUGCAACAAGAAAUGCCAGAAAUGCAUCAAAGUAUGAUACAAAUAAAUCAUGAACAAGUCAACUUUAAUUAUGGAGAAAAAUCAAAAAAAGAGAUAGAACAAUAUGAACAAUAUCAAGUAGAGAAUAUAAAAAAUUUAUUAACAGAACAAGAAUAUUUAUAUACUGAGCUAGAAAAUAAUAUUCUUAGUGUUGAACAUAUGUUUGUUGAAUUCGAAAUAAAAAUAAUGAAACAAUAUAUACAAAGCAAACAUAAAUCAAAUAAAUUAAUUUAUGGACAAGAACAUAUUUUUCAAUUAUAUCAACAAAUUGAAGAAUUUAUGAUAGAUUUGAAUAUAGAAUCAUUUGUAUUGGAAUCGAAAAUGAAAGAAACACAAACCAUUUUGAAUAUUCUACUCAAUGAUGUAUCCUAUUUCAAUUAUGAACAACAUAUAAUACAACAUUUGUUUAAACAAAAUAAAUUAAAACAUGAAGAAUAUGUACAUAUGAAUACUAAUAUAAAUACAAAAAUUGAAAAAGUAAAAACACAAAUAACAUCAUUAAAAGUUCAUUUAAAUAAGUUAAAGUUAAAAUUGAAAAUUAAUUCGAGAGAUAUAAAUUAUAUGAUAACAGAUACAUACACUGAUCCACCAAAUACUAUUAAAGAUAUCCUUCAUACACCAUUUAAAUCAAAUCCACAAAACGUACCAUUCAAUUUUUUGUUAAUGGAAAAAAUAUUAAAUAUUAGAGCUUUCAAUUUUGUUUAUAAUAAUUUUAUUAAUUCAUUAAAUCAAUCAGUUGUAAUGAAUGAAUUAUUUUCCUUAUCUUCUGCAAAUCAUUAUAUGAACAUAAUUAACAUUGAAAAAGAUUAUAAUUUACAUUUAAAUAUAUAUAAACAACCUUACAUUAAUAUAUAUUUACAAGACUUAAUAGAUUUCCAAACUGAUUUUAACCACUUCGUAGAAAAUAUAAAAAAAAAUGCACUUUCACUUUUUAUUACAAAACAUAACAAUAAAUUAAAAACUACCCACACAAAUGCUCACAUAAAUUCCCAUACACAUGCCACUUCACCUACCACUUCACCUACCACUUCAAAAUCAAGUUUAGAAUCCAGUUCAGGUACAAAAACCAAAAAAUCACACACUUCCAAAAAAAUAAAAAUAUUAGAAAAAUUAAAAGAUUUAGAAAAAUGUAUUAUAUUGAUUGAUAAUUAUAUUUGUAAAAUUGAGAACAGCGAAUCUUUGCAUAAUUAUGUGAUUCAAAAUAAAGAAGAGAAAAAAUUAUCUAACGAAUGGCAUGAUACGAGUAUGAUAAUGGGAUGUACUAUUUAUUAUGUAUAUAAGCCAUUUGACCAAAUACUGUUUAAAGGAAAAAUUAUAAAUAAUUAUAUUUUAAUGCCCAUGUUUCAAAAUAUAUUAUAUAAAUCAACAUAUGACCAUUUAAAUGUUUAUAAAAGUUUAGAGAAAUUUUUUAUUCGACAAAUGAAUAUUUUAUAUAACAGUUCUUAUGAAGAAGAUACAGAUAAUAUGAUAAAUAAAUAUCAAUAUGGAGGUAAAACUUAUAAUUAUGAAAAUGUUAUGAAUGUACUACAUGACUAUACAAAUGUAAAGGAAACUUUCGGUACAACAUCCAGUACAACAUCCAGUACAAAAGGAGAAAAAGCAGAAAUAGAAGAAUUAAUAGACUAUUUUUUUAAAGGUAAACACAGUGAUAAUAUUGUCAGUACCUUAAAAAAAGAAAUCGAACCUAACACAUUAGAAUUGCAAGAGACUAAAAAAAAAAGUGAUAAAAAUCUUGAGUUAAUCUAUUUGGAGAAAAAAAAUUUGUUUGAAAAUAGGGAAAGACAAGAACAAGAACAGGUACAAAGCCAAAGACAAGUACAGGGCCAGAGACAAAAAACAGAAACAACAGAAAAUGGAAAAAUCGCACUAGUACAAAACGGACAUAUGGGAAAAAAAAAUAUAAAUGAAGACAUCCUAUUGCAAAGUAAAGUAGGUUAUUACUUGUUUGAAAAAAAAGAAUUGGAAGAACACGAUUUGUUAGCUACAGAUAACGAAAAUUUAAAAGAAGGAAAUUUAGAAAACUUAUUUUCUUACCUAAACCUAGAAAACAAAAUAGAUCAUUCUAAAAUAAAUAUUUUUUUAAAAACACUAUUUGAACAAACAGGUACUGAUUUUGAUACUAUAUUAGAAAUUAUAAAAAAAUUACAAAAUAAUGAAGUAAUUAUAACUAUUAAAGAUAUAUUGUUUUUAAGUAAAAGUAUUUUACAUCAAUCAGGUGUGAAAUUUUUGGAUCCAAAAAUAUUGUCACUAUAUUUUAUAUCUUUUCUUGAAUUAUUAAACAUAAAAACAGAUAUAAAUAACAUCCAUAGUGAUACUACAAACUUAAGUAAUCACCAUAACGAAACGGAUAACACUCAUGAUUAUUUACAAUUUGUACAUUUAUAUAAUAAUAAUAAAUAUCUUAUAAAAGAGCAAAUUAAAACAUAUGUAUUAAAAUUUUUACAACCACAAUGGGCAGAUAUGAUACUACAUCCUGUUGAAAAUGUUACUACAAUUACGUCUACUAACUCUGGUACUGAUAUAUUAUCAACUAAAAACAAAAUGUUUCAAUACAAUUACAAACUUUACGAAUUCUUAUUAAGUGUUAAUGGAAGUCUUAAUGGGGAUGAUAUAUUUUAUAAACAAUUUAGUAUAAAAAAUAGAAACCUAAUUAAAAACUUAUCAGAAAACAUAAAAAAAGUAAUACAAACUAGUAUAGAAAACUUUUUUGAUAUAAUAAAAUUAUUUCAUUUUAAAAAAAAUAGUAAUGGAAAAUUAGUUUAUAAAUAUAAUGAAUAUACUUCUGAAGAAAUUGAUGCAUUUUACUUACAUUGGUAUAAUGAGCAUAGUAAAAUAACAGAUAAUUUAUCCUUUUUAAUUUUAUCAUUAAAUCCGGAUCUUCGUUUAUAUAAUCAGUUACAAAAAAAACAUUUAGAACAUAUACCAUCAUCUACUCACCAAGCCAUAAACAACACAUAUGAACAACAUACACAAUCCCAACUUUUAAAUUUUAAUUUUAAAUGUUUUGAAAACAAAACAUUUGUAACAGAUUUAAAUUUUUUUAUUCCUAAAAAUAUAAAUGGCAUAGAUCAUAUUUUUACAUAUUUUAUUCAUACAAAAAUGUAUCACCACACUCCAAUGUUAUUUGAUAUGUUAAAAAAAUUUUUUACGUAUGAUACAAGUUUUUUAGUUAAUUAUAAACAUUUAGAAAGUAUUGUCGAUUAUUAUUUUAGAAAUUCAAUUUCAGAUAAAGCAACUAAAAUAGUUAUAACAAAAUUAUUUCAUUCAUUUUUUAUUCGACUAUCUUAUAAUGUAGUAGGACAUUACGAACAUCAAUUUACAAAAAUAUUAGACAAUUUAGAUCCUAAUUUGUUAAUUACAUUUCACACAAUAAUAAAUAAAUUAAUGUUUACUUUUAUAUGUGAUAAUAAAAAUAUAAACGAUUUAUAUGCUCCAACUUUAUUAUACGAAAUGAAUCAUAUAUUUAAGUUAAACGCAAUACAAAUAUUUAUACAAUUUAUGAAAUCUUUACCUACAAAUAUUCAAGUAACAAUAAUUAAUUUUUUUCAAACUCAUUUUAUAACUAUAAUAAAAGAAAUACUAACCGAUUUAUUUACUUUUUUUCAAACAUUUAUGGGCAAUGAAAACAUGUUAAAAGACAACGAACAAACUAUUACUACACAAGAAAGUUCUAUGAAAGAAGUUGAACAAUUUUUAAGUAAUAAAAUAAAAAUACUUGAUCCUACAUAUUUUAAUGAAUUGGUAAAACAAAAACAUAUAAAUCAUUUUAUGGGUAAAGAAAAUUUCCCCAAAACUUUUUUAUCAACUUUACAAAAGCGUAUGUCUAUGUUAGAAGUUAGUCAAGAAAGUCUAACAACCGAGGCAAAAAAUUGUGGCAAAAAUUGUGGCAAAAAUUGUGGCGAAUAUUGUGGCAAAAAUUGCAGUGCUAGUGCUAGUGCUGGUGCAAUUUCCGAAAUAAGUCUAACCGAAAUGGACGCAACAAACACACCGAAAGUUGCAGCUACAAAUAUAACAAAAAAAAAACAAAAAGAAACAAGCCAAAUAAAUGCGCAUACAAACUUCAAUACCUAUGAAAACAAAAAAAAUUCAAAUAUAAAUGAUGGAUAUCCUAAGGACAAGGAGACAGGAUAUGAUACAGUAGUACAGGCGGAAGAUGAGCCAACAAAUAAAAAAAAUCACAAAACAAAAGAAGAAGAAGAAAAAAAUAUUUAUGCUCAUAAAUUACAAAACAUAUUAAACAGUAUUUCUUUCAAAAUUCAAGAAAAAGAUAAAAUGGUAAGUGAACAUGGUAUAAAUAAUUAUAUGUUAGAAAACUUUUUCAGAAUAAAUGAAAAAUUUAGUCCUAACAAAAAUAUAUAUGAAAAAGAUUACGAAACAUUUAUUAAAAAUAAACCUGAUUUAAAAGAAUUAUUUAUUUUUACAUCUAGAAAAAUGAAAUAUAAUAAAAAAAACAAAACUAUCCAUUUUUAUAACUUUUUAAAAUUAGAAGAUAUUAUUGAUGAAACAACUUUUGGGUUACUAACAGAACAUCUUUUUAAAGUAAAUCUAAAAUUCAGUGAUGUUAAUAUAUGGUUUGAAAAUUUUUUAAAAACAAAUAAUUUCCAUUUUUAUCAAUUUGAAAAAUUAAAAGAAAAAAUCAAACAAAAAUAUACAUAUUUUGAUUUACAACAUAAUGUAUAUAAAUACAUAUAUGACAAAUUUAAACAACAUCAAAUUAUGGAACCACCAAGUAUUCUAUUUCAGAUUGUUAUGCACAAAAUUUUAAAAUAUAUAUAUAGUGACGAUAAUGGUAGUGAAAAAUAUAACGAUUCAUUUUUGAGUUUUUACCAUAACGAAAUUUCAAAAACAUAUAAAACAUAUACAAUUUUUAUAAAUAAAUUAACUACUUGUUUAUUUAAUAUUUACUAUUUGAAUGAUAUAGAACAUUGUGAAUAUUUCGGAACAUAUAAUACUAAGGAAAAAAUGACAAAUGCACAAUUUGUUUUAAAAUUAAUGCAAACACCAUUUAUUACAUUAAAAAAGAAAAAUAGAAAUAAUAUAAUCUACCAUAAAUAUAGUUCUAAUGAUGAUGAUUUAUACAUACAUCUUCUUAAACAGUACGUAUCACCUAAUUUGUUAAAAAAUAAUAUUACAUUAUAUCAUAAAAAUAAAACAAAACCUAUUACUAUUCACGAUGUAAAUUACAAUUAUAAUAUAAAUGCUGAAUUAUUUUCAUCGUUUAAAGUUACAAAUAAUUGGAUUAAUUCUACAACAACAUCUACAACAAAAAAUUUUAAAAAACAUGACGAAUUGGUUAAAAUAAAAUAUAUCACUAGCGAAAUAAUCAAAUUUUUUAUACAAAACAUUCUUGCAAAAAUACCAUAUAUAUAUAAAAUUAAUUUAAUGUAUAAACCUACUCAUAUUUCAAUUUAUCCUAUUGUUGAUAUUAUUAAUGAUUUAUUUGGAGAAAAAUGUUCAAAAAAUUUGAAACAACAUGUAUUGAAAAAAAAAUGAGAUAAAAAUACAUUCACCUUAUAGCUUAAAAAGUACAAACAAAAUGAUCUGGGGAUUUGAACAAAAAUUAAAUAAUAAUAUUACAUAUUAUUUGUAUAAAAAUAAUAUUUACAGUACUUAUAUAUUACCCCUAAUAAAAACAAUUAAAACUUUGAAACA
ensembl:lncRNA